AGUGAACGCUGGCGGCAGGCCUAACACAUGCAAGUCGAGCGGCAGCGGGUUCCCGCGAGGGGAUGCCGGCGAGCGGCGGACGGGUGAGGAACACAUCGGAAUCUGCCUGGUUGUGGGGGAUAACGUAGGGAAACUUACGCUAAUACCGCAUGCGACCCUGAGUCGACGGACUGGGGGUGAAAGUGAGGGACCUUCGGGCCUCACGCGACCAGAUGAGCCGAUGUCGGA
rnacentral:rRNA from 1 species